GAUGAAGAACGUAGCGAAAUGCGAUAAGUAAUGUGAAUUGCAGAAUUCAGUGAAUCAUCGAAUCUUUGAACGCACAUUGCGCCCCCUGGUAUUCCGGGGGGCAUGCCUGUUCGAGCGUCAUUUCACCACUCAAGCCUCGCUUGGUAUUGGGCAACGCGGUCCGCCGCGUGCCUCAAAUCAACCGGCUGGGUCUUCUGUCCCCUAAGCGUUGUGGAAACUAUUCGCUAAAGGGUGUUCGGGAGGCUACGCCGUAAAACAACCCCAUUUCUAAGGUUGACCUCGGAUCAGGUAGGGAUACCCGCUGAACUUAAGCAUAUCAAUAAGCGGAGGA
rnacentral:misc_RNA from 1 species